GAUGAACGCUGGCGGCGUGCCUAAUACAUGCAAGUCGAGCGAAUGGAUUAAGAGCUUGCUCUUAUGAAGUUAGCGGCGGACGGGUGAGUAACACGUGGGUAACCUGCCCAUAAGACUGGGAUAACUCCGGGAAACCGGGGCUAAUACCGGAUAACAUUUUAAACCGCAUGGUUCGAAAUUGAAAGGCGGCUUCGGCUGUCACUUAUGGAUGUACCCGCGUCGCAUUAGCUAGUUGGUGGGGUAACGGCUCACCAAGGCAACGAUGCGUAGCCGACCUGAGAGGGUGAUCGGCCACACUGGGACUGAGACACGGCCCAGACUCCUACGGGAGGCAGCAGUAGGGAAUCUUCCGCAAUGGACGAAAGUCUGACGGAGCAACGCCGCGUGAGUGAUGAAGGCUUUCGGGUCGUAAAACUCUGUUGUUAGGGAAGAACAAGUGCUAGUUGAAUAAGCUGGCACCUUGACGGUACCUAACCAGAAAGCCACGGCUAACUACGUGCCAGCAGCCGCAGUAA
rnacentral:rRNA from 1 species